AGUGAACGCUGGCGGUAGGCCUAACACAUGCAAGUCGAACGGCAGCACAGUAAGCGCUUGCUCUUACGGGUGGCGAGUGGCGGACGGGUGAGGCAUACAUCGGAAUCUACUUUUUCGUGGGGGAUAACGUAGGGAAACUUACGCUAAUACCGCAUACGACCUACGGGUGAAAGCAGUGGAUCUUCGGACCUUGCGCGAUUGAAUGAGCCGAUGUCGGAUUAGCUAGUUGGCGGGGUAAAGGCCCACCAAGGCGACGAUCCGUAGCUGGUCUGAGAGGAUGAUCAGCCACACUGGAACUGAGACACGGUCCAGACUCCUACGGGAGGCAGCAGUGGGGAAUAUUGGACAAUGGGCGCAAGCCUGAUGCAGCCAUACCGCGUGGGUGAAGAAGGCCUUCGGGUUGUAAAGCCCUGUUGUUGGGAAAGAAAAGCAGCAGGUUAAUACCCCGCUGUUCUGACGGUACCCAAAGAAUAAGCACCGGCUAACUUCGUG
rnacentral:rRNA from 1 species